UACGGAGGGGGCUAGCGUUGUUCGGAAUUACUGGGCGUAAAGCGCACGUAGGCGGCUUUGUAAGUUAGAGGUGAAAGCCCGGGGCUCAACCCCGGAAUUGCCUUUAAGACUGCAUCGCUUGAAUUGUGGAGAGGUAAGUGGAAUUCCGAGUGUAGAGGUGAAAUUCGUAGAUAUUCGGAAGAACACCAGUGGCGAAGGCGACUUACUGGACACAUAUUGACGCUGAGGUGCGAAAGCGUGGGGAGCAAACGGG
rnacentral:rRNA from 1 species